rnacentral:misc_RNA from 1 species
UCACCCCUCAAGCCCUGGCUUGGUGUUGGACUUUAGUUAUGGCUUUGCCUAUCAACUGGUCUCAAAGAUAGUGACGGCGCCCCAGAGGGAACCGGGUACGAGGAGCUUUUUAUCAAGCAUGUAUCUGGGACGACUUUGAUGGGCGACGGUCUUAUUAUACUUUAACUAAG